UACGGAGGGUGCAAGCGUUACUCGGAAUGAUUGGGCGUAAAGGGUCCGUAGGUGGUGAUGUAUGUCUAUUGUCAAAGGUUCUGGCUUAACCAGAGACAGGCAGUAGAAACUGCAAAACUAGAGUGCAGUCGGGACAGGGGGAAUUCCUGGUGUAGCGGUGAAAUGCGUAGAGUUCAGGAAGAACACCGGUGGCGAAAGCGCCCUGCUAGGCUGUGACUGACACUGAGGGACGAAAGCUAGGGGAGCGAAUGGG
rnacentral:rRNA from 1 species